ACUUAAAUAGUUUAAUUAAAAAUUUCAGCUUGUGGGCCUGAUCAUGUAUUUCUAUACUUUAAGUU
rnacentral:tRNA from 1 species